AAUUUAAGUAGUUUAAAUAAGAAUAUUAAUUUGUGGGAUUAAAGGUAUAUAGUUAUAAAAUAUGUCUUAGAUUA
rnacentral:tRNA from 1 species